rnacentral:rRNA from 1 species
AUUAUACCGUGAAACUGCGAAUGGCUCAUUAAAUCAGUUAUCGUUUAUUUGAUAAUACCUUACUACUUGGAUAACCGUGGUAAUUCUAGAGCUAAUACAUGCUGAAAAUCCCGACUUCGGAAGGGAUGUGUUUAUUAGAUAAAAAACCAAUGCCCUUCGGGGCUUUUUGGUGAUUCAUGAUAACUUUACGGAUCGCAUAGCCUUGCGCUGGCGACGGUUCAUUCAAAUUUCUGCCCUAUCAACUUUCGAUGGUAAGGUAUUGGCUUACCAUGGUUUCAACGGGUAACGGGGAAUUAGGGUUCGAUUCCGGAGAGGGAGCCUGAGAAACGGCUACCACAUCCAAGGAAGGCAGCAGGCGCGCAAAUUACCCAAUCCCGACACGGGGAGGUAGUGACAAUAAAUACUGAUACAGGGCUCUUUUGGGUCUUGUAAUUGGAAUGAGUACAAUUUAAACCUCUUAACGAGGAACAAUUGGAGGGCAAGUCUGGUGCCAGCAGCCGCGGUAAUUCCAGCUCCAAUAGCGUAUAUUAAAGUUGUUGCAGUUAAAAAGCUCGUAGUUGAAACUUGGGCCUGGCUGGCGGGUCCGCCUCACCGCGUGCACUCGUCCGGCCGGGCCUUCCUUCUGAAGAACCUCAUGCCCUUCACUGGGCGUGCUGGGGAAUCAGGACUUUUACUUUGAAAAAAUUAGAGUGUUCAAAGCAGGCCUUUGCUCGAAUACGUUAGCAUGGAAUAAUAAAAUAGGGCGUGCGUUUCUAUUUUGUUGGUUUCUAGAGACGCCGCAAUGAUUAACAGGAACAGUCGGGGGCAUCAGUAUUCAGUUGUCAGAGGUGAAAUUCUUGGAUUUACUGAAGACUAACUACUGCGAAAGCAUUUGCCAAGGAUGUUUUCAUUAAUCAGUGAACGAAAGUUAGGGGAUCGAAGACGAUCAGAUACCGUCGUAGUCUUAACCGUAAACUAUGCCGACUAGGGAUCGGGCGAUGUUCUUUUUCUGACUCGCUCGGCACCUUACGAGAAAUCAAAGUUU